AACGAACGCUGGCGGCAGGCUUAACACAUGCAAGUCGAGCGCCCCGCAAGGGGAGCGGCCGACGGGUGAGUAACGCGUGGGAACGUACCUUUUGGUUCGGAACAACUCCGGGAAACUGGAGCUAAUACCGGAUAAGCCCUAACGGGGAAAGAUUUAUCGCCGAAAGAUCGGCCCGCGUCUGAUUAGCUAGUUGGUGAGGUAACGGCUCACCAAGGCGACGAUCAGUAGCUGGUCUGAGAGGAUGAUCAGCCACACUGGGACUGAGACACGGCCCAGACUCCUACGGGAGGCAGCAGUGGGGAAUAUUGGACAAUGGGCGCAAGCCUGAUCCAGCCAUGCCGCGUGAGUGAUGAAGGCCUUAGGGUUGUAAAGCUCUUUUGUCCGGGAAGAUACUGACUGUACCGGAAGAAUAAGCCCCGGCUAACUUCGUG
rnacentral:rRNA from 1 species